rnacentral:tRNA from 1 species
GAAAUAUUUUAAAAAUAAGCUUCUAACUUAAUUUUUAAGCAUUAAUGUUUGUAUUUCU